rnacentral:rRNA from 1 species
ACCGCAAGGCCUCGCGCGAAUGGAGCGGCCGAUGUCAGAUUAGCUAGUUGGUGGGGUAAAGGCUCACCAAGGCGACGAUCUGUAGCGGGUCUGAGAGGAUGAUCCGCCACACUGGGACUGAGACACGGCCCAGACUCCUACGGGAGGCAGCAGUGGGGAAUUUUGGACAAUGGGCGCAAGCCUGAUCCAGCCAUGCCGCGUGCGGGACGAAGGCCUUCGGGUUGUAAACCGCUUUCAGCCGGAAAGAAAUCGCUGACUUUAAUAGAGGCAGUGGAUGACGGUACCGGAAGAAGAAGCACCGGCUAACUACGUG